UACGUAGGUGGCAAGCGUUGUCCGGAAUUAUUGGGCGUAAAGCGCGCGCAGGCGGUCUCUUAAGUCUGAUGUGAAAGCCCACGGCUCAACCGUGGAGGGUCAUUGGAAACUGGGAGACUUGAGUGCAGAAGAGGAGAGCGGAAUUCCAUGUGUAGCGGUGAAAUGCGUAGAGAUAUGGAGGAACACCAGUGGCGAAGGCGGCUCUCUGGUCUGUAACUGACGCUGAGGCGCGAAAGCGUGGGGAGCAAACAGG
rnacentral:rRNA from 1 species